rnacentral:rRNA from 1 species
UGAGGAAUAUUGGGCAAUGGGGGCAACCCUGACCCAGCCAUGCCGCGUGAGUGAAGAAGGUUUUCGGAUUGUAAAGCUCUUUCGGAUGUGACGAUGAUGACGGUAGCAUCUAAAGAAGCCCCGGCAAACUUCGUGCCAGCAGCCGCGGUAAUACGAAGGGGGCGAGCGUUGUUCGGAAUUACUGGGCGUAAAGGGUGUGUAGGCGGUUAUGUAAGAUAGCGGUGAAAUGCCGGGGCUCAACCUCGGAAUUGCCUUUAUGACUAUAUAACUAGAAUAAUGGAGAGGAUAUCGGAAUACCCAGUGUAGAGGUGAAAUUCGUAGAUAUUGGGUAGAACACCAGUGGCGAAGGCGGGUAUCUGGCCAUUUAUUGACGCUGAGGCACGAAAGCAUGGGGAUCAAACAGGAUUAGAUACCCUGGUAGU